AAGCCUCCCCAGCUAUGCUUCCUGUACAACCUGUGGAACUGGCAAAUAUCAGAAUCACCUGGCGGUCUUGAUGAAACACAAGCUGCUGAGCUUUACUCCAGAAUUUCUGGUUCAGUAGGUCUGCAGUAGGACCUGAAAUUUUAUAUUUCUAACAAGUUUUCAGGAGCUGCUGAUGCCGCUAGUACAGGGCUCACAUUUUGAGAACCUCUGGUCUAGCAAGUUGCCACCAAGAAUGAAGAUUGGGCCAGAGAACAGGGCCCUUGCUGAAAAUGCUUCAGUGGCUCUCCAUGGCCCUUAAAGUCAAGUACAAAGUCUACAAGCGGAAAAGUGAUCUGCAAAGCCCUUCAGGAUCUGACCCCAGGGGAAAUUUGUUUUGCAACAGAAAACAUAAGAAAUUUUCCCUGCUUGGAAGAUACUCAUACAUACCAGGUAAGCCAGACAUCUAAAACCAAGAUGACGAUGAAACUUUUCAAGUUGACACAUCUUACGAGUUUUGAAUUCUUAUUACCUUAAACCCAUAUUUUCCACACUGUAUCUUUGAAGAAAAAGAAGGACAUCCUGAAGGCUAUUCUGGAACAAGUCAACAUUUUGAUUUCAAACAUCAAAAAAGGUGUCCAGAAAUCUCAAGAAUUUGAGACAUCCUAAGGAACUUUAAGUGCUGUGAGCCACAAGUAACAUCAAGAAAAGACAGGGAUGAAGAACCGCACUUACAAGCUAAGUAAGAUUAAACCCAGCAUGGAGAUAUAUGAAUUAAUAUGAACUCUGAGAAAGAAAUUGGUCAGCUAAAAAAUAUAUGGCUUUCCUGAAUAGACAAAAGAACAAAGAUUUUCCCUUUGGUUCAGUCAGCAUGACUGGAACUUUGAUCAACAAAUCCCCAAGAGCCACAACCCGUCUUUUGUGAACAAGUAGUAUCAAGGGAUUCGGCAGGAAGCUUGCACCGAGUGAAGGAUUUAUAAAGAUUAUAGGAGAUAACACAAAGCUAUUUUAUCUCUUUAAAAAAAAUCAAAGGAUUAGCUGCCACAAAUAUUAUCCCCCAUCUGGGCACAAGGUGUAAGCUCAUCCUACACAUGUCAUUUGGACCAGACCAAGGCUGCUGUCAUGGAGGACCCACACCACAGCUUGGGAACCAUUCAUCUACCAGAGGGUCACAUGACUUCAAAUGACUCUUCUAGGGGCCACCUGCCAUGAUAGGGUACCAGCUCUUCCUCUGAAUUCCCAAUCCAUUUCUUGAGAACUACUGUUUCUAAUAAGGGGGGAAGAAGGUCAUGUGGGAAUCAGUUAAAUCACGUGUGGAUAGAAGACAAGUUCCAGCUUUGUGGGAAAUCCUGUAGCCUUCGCCAGGUACACCCUGACAAUCUCAGAACUGAUCAGGGUUUUUGUUCCAUGUGAGAUACCCACGCCACUUUAAAAAACAAACUAUCCUGACAUCUAAUUACUUUGUGAAUGAUUGUAAUGGCAAUAACAAUAGAGAUGGAAGAAUUUUGGAAACAAUAUUUGCUCAAAAUGGAUUUGCAAAGAGAAAAAAAAUUUAAUGUCACACUGCCAUGAUAAGUCAACCAACCAUCUCAUAUAUCAAAGGAGAGAGGCAGAGAAAGAAAAGGAGGAGGAUAAAGAAGAGGAGGAAGAGGACGAAAGGAAAACCAAGAGGAGGAGAAGCCACUUCUUACUUUGGAUUAAUGUGAAACUAAAUAGUUUACUACAUUUUAAGUGGGAAAAUGUUAGUUGAAAAGAUAUUUGUCAACCACAAACAUUUGAAAGGGAAGCAUUCCAAAGAUUUUCACUGUUUAUGUUCAAAUUACAACAUGUGCAGAAAGUUGUGCAACUGAAAAUCCUUUCAAACAACAGCUACAAAAGAGAUUGGUCAGUUAGGACAGGAAUAGAAAGUGGAAACUUAGAAGACUGGCUACUCCUUGUGUAUGAUUGCUGGGGUGAGUCUGUGCUGAGAACUUUUUACAAAGGGUGUCCUUUGCUGAUAUGAGAGGGGGGUGUCAAACUUUUGAGUGAUCACUGUGGGUCCUCAGCUUAGACAUCUUCUCUGGCCCAAGAUGGCACCCCUUGCUCUCUUUCCAUGGGACACAGGGACCUUGCCAUCCUUCCAUCUUAUAAGCCUUCUGUCAUGAUUUUUACUUCAUCCUAGAUAGCCUUAAU
rnacentral:lncRNA from 1 species